rnacentral:rRNA from 1 species
GCGGUGGAGCAUGUGGUUUAAUUCGAUGCAACGCGAAGAACCGUUACCUGGGCUUGACAUCCAAGAAUCCCUGGAAACAGGGAGUGCCCUUCGGGAGCUUGGAGACAGGUGCUGCAUGGCUGUCGUCAGCUCGUGUCGUGAGAUGUUGGGUUAAGUCCCGCAACGAGCGCAACCCUUGCCUUUAGUUGCCAUCAUUCAGUUGGGCACUCUAGAGGGACUGCCGGUGUCAAACCGGAGGAAGGUGGGGAUGACGUCAAGUCAGCAUGGCCUUUAUAUCCUGGGCUACACACACGCUACAAUGGGAAGGGACAAUAGGUUGCGAAGCCGCGAGGCGGAGCCAAUCCAGCAAAACUUCCCUCAGUUCAGAUUGCAGGCUGCAACUCGCCUGCAUGAAGUUGGAGUUGCUAGUAAACGCAGGUCAGCCAUACUGCGUUGAAUACGUUCCCGGGGCUU